UGCAAGUCGAGUGCGCGUGCCGUAGCAAUACGGUAUGGCGCACGGCGCACGGGUGCGUAACACGUGGGCAAUCUGCCCUCCGGUGGGGAAACAACCCCGCGAAAGCGGGGCUAAUUCCGCAUAACAUUCCCUGGGAUCUGGUUCGGGGAUUCAAAGCAGCAAUGCGCCGGAGGAGGAGCCCGCGCCCGAUUAGCUAGUUGGUGAGGUGACGGCUCACCAAGGCAAUGAUCGGUAGCUGGUCUGAGAGGAUGGCCAGCCACACUGGAACUGAGACACGGUCCAGGAUCCUACGGGAGGCAGCAGUGGGGAAACCUUGCGCAAUGGGCGAAAGCCUGACGCAGCGACGCCGCGUGGGGGAUGAAGCUUCUCGGAGUGUAAACCCCUUUCGACCGGGACGAAUGCCCGCAAGGGAGUGACGGUACCGGUAGAAGAAGCCCCGGCUAACUACGUGCCAGCAGCCGCGGUAAGACGUAGGGGGCCAGCGUUGUUCGGAAUUACUGGGUGUAAAGGGUUCGUAGGCGGUGUGGCAAGUCGGGAGUGAAAUUUCUGGGCUUAACUCAGAAGCUGCUUCCGAAACUGCUGUGCUAGAGUGCGGGAGAGGCGCGUGGAAACUGCAGGUGUAGCGGUGAAAUGCGUAGAUAUCUGCAGGAACACCCGUGGCGAAAGCGGCGCGCUGGACCGUUACUGACGCUGAGGAACGAAAGCUAGGGGAGCAAACAGGAUUAGAUACCCUGGUAGUCCUAGCCCUAAACGAUCAGGGAUUGGGGUGCCUUCCGUUCGGAAGUCGUCCCGGAGCU
rnacentral:rRNA from 1 species